rnacentral:tRNA from 1 species
UCUAACAUGGCAGAAAUAUGCAUAAAAUUUAAAAUUUUAAGAUAAGUUAAUUACUUUGUUAGAA